CUGAUGACUCUCGGCAACGGAUAUCUCGGCUCCCGCAUCGAUGAAGAACGUAGCGAAAUGCGAUACCUGGUGUGAAUUGCAGAAUCCCGUGAACCAGCGAGCCUUUGAAUGCAAGUUGCGCCCGAGGCCACCCGGCCGAGGGCACGCCUGCCUGGGCGUCGCGC
rnacentral:rRNA from 1 species